UUUUUACCCGCUGAAUUUAAGCAUAUCACUAAGCGGAGGAAAAGAAACUAACAAGGAUGCGCUUAGUAACGGCGAGCGAACCGCGCAAAGGCCAACUUGAAAAUCUCCCUCGGAGAAUUGUAGUCUAUAGAAGUACCCUCUGCAACGGGCUGAGCUAAAGUCUCCUGGAAAGGGGCGUCAGAGAGGGUGAGAACCCCGUAAGCUCACGCUUAGUUGCCUCACGAGGUGCUUUCAAAGAGUCGGGUUGCUUGGGAAUGCAGCCCAAAUUUGGUGGUAAAUCCCAUCUAAGCCUAAAUACUGGCGAGAGACCGAUAGCGAACAAGUACCGUGAGGGAAAGAUGAAAAGAACUUUGAAAAGAGAGUUAAAUAGUGCUUGAAAUUGUUGAGGGGGAAGCGUUUGAAUGCUGGAGUGCGCUCAGGCUUAUGGGUCCUUAACGGGGCUCUGUAUGUGCUGAGCGCUGGCCAGCAUGGGUUAGGCUAGUGGGACAAAAGCGCGGGUUGAUACCAUGCCGUGCCACUGGCUUGACCAAGGCGUGAAGACUGCCCUUGUCCUUCGGGAACUGCAGUCUCAAGAUGCUGGAAAGUCC
rnacentral:rRNA from 1 species